GGCGUCACACCUUCGGGUGAAGUCGCC
rnacentral:rRNA from 1 species